GAUGAAGAACGCAGCUAAAUGCGAUAAGUAAUGUGAAUUGCAGAAUUCAGUGAAUCAUCGAAUCUUUGAACGCACAUUGCGCCCGCCAGUAUUCUGGCGGGCAUGCCUGUCCGAGCGUCAUUUCAACCAUCAAGCCCCGGGCUUGUGUUGGGGACCUGCGUCCGACGCAGGCCCUGAAAACCAGUGGCGGGCUCGCUGUCCACACCGAGCGUAGUAACUAACCUCGCUAUGGAGUGGCGCGGGCGCCUGCCGUAAAACCCCCAAUUUCACAAGGUUGACCUCGGAUCAGGUAGGAAUACCCGCUGAACUUAAGCAUAUCAAUAAGCGGAGGG
rnacentral:misc_RNA from 1 species